rfam:Nicotiana attenuata strain TT chromosome 9, whole genome shotgun sequence.
GUUUUUGCAGAUGCAGCAUCUUCAAGAUUCACAUAUAGUAUAUAUUAUGGAGUUCUAUGGGGGGUGAAAAAUAUAUUAUUUUUUGCUCCCUAUGGUUCCUUAAUUUGAUAUGAGAAUCUUGAUGAUGCUGCAGCAGCAAUGAA